rnacentral:rRNA from 1 species
UACGUAGGGUGCAAGCGUUAAUCGGAAUUACUGGGCGUAAAGCGUGCGCAGGCGGUUGAUUAAGUCUGAUGUGAAAGCCCCGGGCUCAACCUGGGAAUGGCAUUGGAAACUGGUCAGCUGGAGUGUGGCAGAGGGGGGUGGAAUUCCGCGUGUAGCAGUGAAAUGCGUAGAGAUGCGGAGGAACACCGAUGGCGAAGGCAGCCCCCUGGGCCAACACUGACGCUCAGGCACGAAAGCGUGGGGAGCAAACAGG